rnacentral:rRNA from 1 species
AUGGCAGCAUCCAAACCCCAUCUCGCCUUGCUCCUCGCCGUAGUUCUGAUCGCCGCCACGCCGCAGCCUUCGGCGGCCGUCAGGGCCAAGCCCCCUGCCCCCUCCACCAGCAACGAUCCAGUAGCAAAACCAUCGGCAUGGUGCAUUCCCUGCUUUUCGUUUCUACCGCAGUUAUUCUGUAUACCACCGAUGUUCUGUCCACCAACGCCAAGUGCGCCGCCGCCGCCGCCACCACCAUCGAAGCCGCAGCCGAAAGAGUGUCUACCAUCUUUGAAGGGACUCAUGCCAUGCAAGGAUUACCUCACGAACAGAACCGCGCCGGCGCCUCCAAAGCAAGGCAAGUGCUGCGACGGCCUGAGGUCGCUCUUCCAGAACGCCCCCAUCUGCCUUUGCCGCAUAUCGGAGAACCGCGACCUCGACAAGCUCAUGUCAGCACCCCUGGAUAGAGCAAACUUCCUUGGUCUGGAGACAAUCUGUAACGCGGGUCUGACUGAUUAUGAAUCUUGCGAAGGUAAGUUAUUGCUCUCGGUACUAUACAAUGUUUUGUGCCUUAUCGUGCUCGUGUUUAAUUAUGCACGAUUUGAACCAUUUUGA